rnacentral:tRNA from 1 species
AAAAGUUUAGGAUACCCAGUCCAAGAGCCUUCAAAGCCCUAAGCAAACCUACA